UAACCACACCAGCAUUGGAGAGCACACAGAAACUAGCAGCGUUGCUACACGAACUUAAGUCCAUGGAUUAAGUUACCAAAAGCUGUGAGAGAAAAGCAUUUCAUGGCAAAAAGUUUCUCACUAUCAGUGCUUCAGUUCCAAAUAAAAGAUGCCCCACGGUUCAGACGAUGCUCGAAAGAAGUUUAUCCUGACCACAACUGGAAACUUCUAUGGAAUACAGCCCUCAUCGUCCCUGACUGAUAGUCAAGAGCUCAAUAACUUCUUGGAUGAUGGGAAUGAAUUUGUCCUGUCUGUCAGCAGAAGUAACAAUGAACUUCACUUGUCAAAUAAGAUUGAAGCUUCGGGAGACAGCGGAGAGAAGGUGUUGGUGUUCUUCAAGCUGCAUCCCACAGUGAUCACUGAAGAUAACUUUCAUCAGAGCCUCCUGGUGUCAUCCAUGCUGGAGUCACCCAUCAACACGCUCUACCAAGCUGUCAAACAGGUUUUUGCACCUGUGCUGCUAAAGGAUGAGCGCUGGCGUUCAGCAUUUGACCCUAAGUUGGCAGACCUGCUGAGUGAGCUGGAGCUCGGCCUGGGUUCAGUGGUACGCCAGUUUGGAGCACAGUCCUCUUCCAAAAAGGGCCGUAAGGAAGAAGAUGUCCUGGGCAUCCUGACUCCCAGUGAUGAGUUCCAGUACUGGGCAGAUCUCUCUGAGUCAGCUGAGAAGAACAGUGUGAGAGAAAGGGCCAAACAUUUCACGGACCAGUUUGAACCAAUACAAAAGGAGUUUUGUGGUCUCGAUGGCUUGUCUAUGUCAGAUGUUGUGGAUCUAGUGGAACAGAGCAAAGAGGCUCUAGACGAUGUUUGGAGGCAGACUGAUUAUGAGCCUUAUCCAGAGACUCGCAUGGUCCGACUCAUGGAUGUUGUUGGUGGAGCCCUGGGAAGAUAUGUUCAGAAGAAGCUGAGUGCUCUUAAAAUUUUUCAGGAGCCUUUUGUUUCAGUGAGAGAGAGCUUGAGAACAGCUGUUUCCAUCUGUGAACAGUGGGUAAUAGCCUGUGAGCAUUUGACUGGACAGGUAUGGAAGAGACAUGUUCCCCACCCCUGGAAGGGAAACAAGCACUGCCCACAAUCCUUACAUUGCCUUGCAAAAAGAUUGAAUGAGGUGGUGACUCUCCGUAUGGUUCAUGAGAAAUUGCUGUGUUUGCUACCAGGAGGGAAGCAGCAGGCUCUGACCUCAGAUCGAGUUUUUGAACCAUUCUCUGGACUCAACCCUCUUCAGUACAACCCCUAUACUGAGCCUCUUUGGAAAGCAGCAGUGGCUCAGUUUGAACGCCUAAUGGCUCCAUCAGAACAGGAGGUUGCAGGGAGGCUAAAGAGUUACAUUGCUGAUGUGAAGGACAACCCACAACAGCUGUUGCAGGCGUUCCAAAAGCAUAAGGAGUUGAUCAGACGUCCCACCAUCAGUAAAGAGCUGCAGUCGGAAAGAGAGAUGCUACUAGCCAGAAUACUAGACUACAAUAAGGGGCUUAAGACUGACUUUGAGAGUCGUUGCCAUGGAGGCCCUGGAGACAAAUUUGGGCCUCUCAUUGGCAGGAACCUCCCUGAAGUGGUCAAUAAAAUUGUUUGGGUGCGACAGCUCUUUCACAAGGUGGAAGACUCUGUCCGCAUAGCUGAGGCUCUGCUUUCAGACCUGUCUGGGUUCAAAGGGUUCCUGCAUUUCUGUGAUGACCUGUUGGAAGUUCUAAGGGUGUAUGAACAGGAACAGUUUGAGGACUGGUCAAGAGAUAUACUGUCUGGACUGGCUGAUCCAAAGUCAGGGAUCAGUCUCCAGGCCAGUAACCGUGUUAUGGACCUGGAUCAUGUGGAUGGCAAGCUGAAGAUUCAGUACUCGGACAGAUUGGUCAGUCUACUCAGGGAAGUCAGGCAGCUCUCUGCCCUGGGAUUUCCUAUCCCAGCCAAGAUACAACAGGCUGCUAAUACUGCAGACAAAUUCUACAGACAAGCCAUUGUCCUUAAACAGGUGGCCCAUUUCUACAACACCAUUGACCAGCAGAUGAUUGCCUCUCAGAGACCUAUGAUGCUCAGUCUUGCGCUGGCUUUUGAACAGGUCAUCAAGAAUCCUCGCUCUCAGUCAAAGGAAUCGGGUGGUAAACUUCAGAUUACGUGGGACAACCCCAAAGAUUUAGAAGUUUACAUUGCCAAGCUGCAGUCUGCGGCAGAGAAACUCUCUACCGAGAACAGGAAGUUACGAAAAUGGCACACUGACUUUAUCGACAAGGUGGUGACACUAAUGAAUGUUGACCUACUGAGACAUCAGCAGCGGUGGAAGGAUGGCCUUCAGGAGCUCCGUACUGGCUUUGCCACUCUGGAGGCUCAGGGCUUCAGGUCUGAUGAUAUGCGGGCAUGGCGUCAGCAUUGGAACCAUCAGCUGUACAAGGCUCUUGAACACCAGUAUCAGACUGGAUUGGAAGCUCUGAAUAAGAACUUGCCUGAAAUACACAUAGACCUCACUUUCAAACAGGGCCGUUUACAGUUCCGUCCACCAUUUGAGGAGGUGCGAGCACGCUAUUUCAGGGAGAUGAAGCGAUUCAUCUCAAUCCCAAACCAGUUCAAAGGGGUCAGCGCCCUGGGGGAGGAGCUUAUCUUCAACAUCAUGAUUGACAGAAAUGCCUCUGGGUUCCUCACCAUUUUCAGCAAGGCCGAGGACCUCUUUAGCCGCCUGCAUGCUAUACAACACAAGUUCAAGGAGUGGGUGGUGCUGGGCCAAGUGGAUUUAGAGAAGUUAGUAGAGAAGCAUCUGAGUUCUGUGCAAGACUGGGAGAGAAAUUUCAAGGCCCUGAAAGCCAGAGGGAAAGAGUCAGAACGUCUACCCAGUCAGGAGAAGGUAGACUGCAUCACAGUCAACUGUGAGCCAGUAAAAGCUGUCAUUGAUGACCUGGUCCAGAGGCUGUUCGACAUGCUGCUCUUAUCACUUAGGAAGUCUAUACAAGGCCACACACAAGCCAUAGACAGUUUUGUAUCAGAAUCAAUGGAGGCCUUGUCCACUCGACCAGAAAGCAUGGAGGAGAUUGGGGCGGCAAGUGGCAAACACAGCCAGAUAUUCGCUCGCAAACCUGAAAUCCUACCUCAGUUCCAGUGUGCUGAAGAGAAGAACCGCUUGCUGCGUGCGGUGGCUGGGGCCGGCAUGGACUCUCUGUCCUCACUGAGGGCCAAGUGGGACAAAUUAGAGCUUGUUAUGGAGAGCCACCAGCUUAUGAUCAAAGAACAGAUGGAGGUGAUGCGAACUAAUGCGGCAGGUCAUAUCAGUGCCUAUAGGGCAGAUCUGGAGCGGUUUAAGGCACGCUGGGACCAGCUGAAACCUAAAGAUGAGAUGCUGGAGACUGGUGAUCAUGCUGCCCUACUUGUCUGUCUCCAAACAAUCAGGGACAAACAGCAAGAGUUCCAGGAGCUAGAGCUUGUGCGCAGUAAAUUGCUUGAAGACUGUGCGUGUUUUGAUCUGGAGGCUCCAGAUUUCUCUUUGGCAGAGGAGACAAAAAGAGACAUGGAGGAGGUUAGCCAAAUGUGGGGUCUGUAUGAGGAAUGGCAGCAGGGCUUCACAGAGAAGGCACAGGAGGACUGGAUCACACUCAGGAGUAAAACGUAUGUGUUUGAGGAGUUUCUGUUUACGUGGCAGGACAGACUAAGAAAACUGAAACAGCCCACUGCUAUGUCUGUAAAACUACAAGGGGAAGUAGACAAAUACAAGAACAUGGUUCCAGUGCUGAAGUACGUACGUGGGGAACACCUGUCUCAGGACCACUGGUUGGAUAUGUUUCGUUUGCUGGGUCUCCCAAGAGGGACUACCUUAGAAAGACUUACCUUUAACGAUCUUCUUGGUGUUGCAAAUACGAUCAUAGAAAAGGCGUUGGAGCUCAAGGAUCUGAACAGUCGUGCUCAGGCAGAGGUGACAAUCAGAGAAGCACUCAGGGAGCUGGACUUGUGGGGAGCUGCAGCUACCUUCACCCUCACUGAGUACACAGACAGCAGUGGGCGCACUCUCACCCUCAUCAAGGACUGGAGGGAUAUAGUAAACCAGGUGGGAGAUAACCGCUGUCUGCUGCAGUCUCUGAAGGACUCUCCCUACUACCGCAGCUUCCAGGACAAGGUCAGUCUGUGGGAGGUUCGUCUGUCAGACUUAGAUGAGUACCUGCUCAGUCUGAAUGCUAUCCAGAGGCGCUGGGUUUAUCUAGAGCCUAUAUUUGGACGAGGAGCAUUGCCCCGAGAGGAGGCCCGCUUCAAACGGGUUGAUGAAGACUUCAGGACAAUAAUGUCAGACAUCCAGAGGGAUAACAGAGUUGUUUCUCUGAGCUCAAGGGCUGGAAUCAGAAGCUCCCUGGUCACCAUACUGGAUCAGCUGCAGCGCUGCCAAAAAUCCCUGAAUGAGUUUCUGGAGGAGAAGCGUUCUGCUUUUCCGCGGUUCUAUUUCAUAGGAGAUGAUGACCUUUUAGAGAUUCUAGGACAGGCAACCAAUCCAGCUGUCAUCCAGUCACACCUCAAGAAACUCUUUGCAGGCAUCCACAGUGUUGUGUUUGAUGAACAGUGCCAGCACAUUGUUGCAAUGUGUUCUCUGGAAGGAGAAAAAGUGCCACUAAGAAACCUUGUGCGAAUUUCCAGCCUCGUGGAGGCGUGGCUAAGUGAGUUGUCUGCGGAAAUGAAGGAGACUCUGAAACAUCUGCUGUAUGAAUGCUUGUCAGCAGGGAGGAAGGGGGCCGUGGACCCCUCUCGUUAUCCGUCACAGAUUCUCUGUCUGGCUGAGCAAAUCCAGUUUACUGAAGAUGUGGAAAGAGCUCUAAAAGAGCAAAAUUUACAGCAGCUGGAGAUAGAGCUUAAUGGCAAACUGGAACACUACACCACAGUGGACACCAGCUCUGAUGACCACCCUAACACAGAGUCCAGCAUCCUGCAGCUGAAGCUGAAGGCCUUGAUCCUGGAUAUUAUCCAUAACAUCAGUGUAGUGAAGCACCUUAACCAGGCAGGAGUUACCAGUACUGAUGCCUGGGCCUGGAAGAAGCAGCUUCGUUUCUACAUGGGACCAGACAAAUGCUGCCACAUCCACAUGGUGGAUGCACAUUUCAACUAUACUUAUGAAUACCAGGGGAAUGCAGCUAAGCUGGUACACACUCCACUGACUGAUAAGUGCUACCUGACUCUGACCCAGGCCAUGAAGAUGGGCCUUGGGGGGAACCCAUAUGGGCCAGCUGGUACAGGCAAGACUGAGUCGGUCAAAGCCUUAGGGGGGCUGUUUGGACGCCAGGUGCUGGUGUUCAACUGUGAUGAGGGUAUUGAUGUGAAGUCAAUGGGCCGGAUCUUUGUGGGGCUGGUAAAGUGUGGAGCGUGGGGCUGCUUUGAUGAGUUCAAUCGUUUAGAAGAAGCAGUACUAUCUGCAGUUUCUAUGCAGAUUCAGGCCAUUCAAGACUCCCUAAAACAUCACAAGAACACAUGUGAACUGCUGGGAAAAGAGGUGGAACUGGACCCAAACUCUGGAGUGUUCAUCACAUUGAACCCAGCAGGGAAAGGUUAUGGAGGUAGACAGAAACUUCCAGACAACCUUAAGCAGCUGUUCAGACCUGUGGCCAUGAGCAGGCCAGACAAUGAACUCAUUGCUGAAGUCAUCCUUUACUCUGAGGGCUUCAAAAAUGGAGAAAUGCUGGGGCGUAAACUGGUUGCAAUCUUCAACCUGGCCAGGGAGCUGUUGACUCCCCAGCAGCACUAUGAUUGGGGUUUGCGUGCUCUGAAGACGGUGCUGAAGGCCUGUGGCAGUAUCCUGCAGCAACAGAGGAGGAGUCAUGACAAGGACGAGAUUCAGGAGAGCAGUUUGGUUGUGCAGGCUUUGAGACUGAACACCAUGUCCAAGCUGACGUUUGCCGAUAGCUCUCGGUUUGAUGCUUUGGUCAAGGACGUGUUCUCUGGCGUUAGCUUCACUGAUGUGGAAGACCAGAUACUAAUGCACGCAUUGGAGCAAGUCUACAAGGAGGCACAACUUGAACUUAUACCCAGCCAGCUGAAAAAGGCACUGGAGCUGAAUGAACAGCUGAGACAACGCAUGGGUGUAGUCAUCGUAGGGCCAAGUGGAGCAGGCAAAUCUACACUGUGGAGGAUGCUAAGGGCUGCUCUCAGCAAGACAGGCAAAGUGGUGAAACAGUACACAAUGAAUCCUAAGGCCAUGCCCAGACAACAGCUGUUGGGACAUAUAGACAUGGACACCAGAGAAUGGGCUGAUGGCGUCCUUACACACAGUGCCAGGACUGUUGUCAGAGAACCACAGGAGGUGAACUCCUGGAUUGUUUGUGAUGGCGAUAUUGACCCAGAGUGGAUUGAGAGUCUGAACUCUGUGCUUGAUGACAAUCGGCUGUUAACCAUGCCUAGCGGAGAACGCAUCCAGUUUGGACCCAAUGUCAACUUCUUGUUUGAGACUCACGACCUCAGCUGUGCUUCACCUGCCACCAUUUCCCGCAUGGGCAUGAUUUUUCUAAGUGAUGAGGACAUUGAUGUGGGUGCCUUGGUGCAAUCCUGGUUAAGGGGUCAGUCAGAAGAGUGUCGCAGUAACCUAGAAAACUGGCUUGGAGACUACUUCCAAAGAUCCCUGGACUGGGUCCUCAAACAGAAUGACUUUGUGGUCGAAACUAGUCUGGUGGGCACAGUGUUCAAUUGUCUGUCACACCUCAGUGCUGUGACAGAGAGAGGCCAGUUCAUUGUUGGUCUUCUUCGAGGCAUGGGGGGAAACCUCAACCUCAAAACACGACAAGAAUUUGCCAAGGAGUUGCUGAGCUGGGCCAGGGAAACUCCACCAGACAUCAGAAAACCACUUGACACCUACUAUGACUCGGACAGUGGCCAUCUAGCAGCCUAUAUGUUCCAGCGUCCUGAGAGUCUAAUUCUGGAACAGUUAUGUCAUACACACAAACUACCGGUUAUUGAGACUCCAGGCAUGCAACGAGGUCUGCAUUGCUUCUCUCCAUGGCUCACAGCUCAGCACAGGCAGCCCUUCAUGGUGGUAGGGCCAGAAGGUUGCGGAAAGGGUAUGCUCUUGCGCUAUGCCUUCUCUCGGCUGCGUUCCACCCAAGUUGCUGUGGUUCACUGCAGUGCCCAGACCUCAUCUCGCCAUGUCCUACAGAAGCUUAGCCAGACAUGCCUGUUACUCAGCUCCAACACUGGCCGAGUGUUCAGACCCAAGGACUGUGAGAACCUGGUCCUUUACUUAAAAGACAUCAACUUACCCAAACCGGACAAAUGGGGGACCAGCAACCUCAUUGCCUUCCUGCAACAGGUGUUGACAUAUAAGGGAUUCUAUGAUGAAAAUCUAGAGUGGGUGAGCCUUGAGAACAUUCAGGUGGUGGCCUCCAUGUCAACAGGGAGUGCUGUUGGAAGCCAUUCACUCACUACUCGCUUCUCAUCUAUCGUACGCAUCUGUACCAUAGACUAUCCAGACAGGGAACAGCUGCAGACCAUCUACUCAGCUUACCUACAGCCAGUACUCCAGCAUAGCCUGGGCAGCGAGGAAGGCUGGGCCAGCACUGGGAAAACACACCAGCUGGCUGGGUCUCUCGUCCAGCUCUAUGAACAGGUGAAAGCCAAAUUUACAGUGGAUCACCACAGCCACUACCUGUUUACCCCCUGCAUUCUCACAGAAUGGGUCCUCAGCUUACUGCGAUAUGACCUCACUGCAGCUCAAUCUAAUGUGACAGACAGCGUGUUGGAGGUGGUAGCAUAUGAGGCCAGGAGGCUAUUCAGAGACCGGCUAGUGUCCUCAAAAGACCUUCACACCUUUGAUAACAUCCUCUCCUCCAUCAUACGAGGGGACUGGGGCUCUGACGCUCUGGAUAACAUGACUGACGGUUUCUAUGUGACAUGGGGAGCCUCUGAAGGUGCAGUAAUGGCUCCAGGGCUGUCUCUUCCUCCUCAUGGUAAACAACUGGGACGUCUGGAUUCUGCUGACCUAAAACAGGUUAUACAUAAGGGAGUAGUGCUGUACAGUCGUGAUAACAGAGAGCUGGAUCUUCUCCUGUUCUGGGAAGUUUGUGACUUUGUAUCCCGGGUGGAUCGGGUCCUGAGCCGACCUGGUGGUUCUCUGCUCCUGGCGGGGCGAAGUGGAGUGGGUCGUCACACAGCCACAUGCCUGGUGUCACACAUGCAUGGAUUUACAUUGUUCACUCCUAAAAUCUCUCGUGGUUAUACGCUUAAGCAUUUCAGCAAUGAUCUAAAGACGGUGAUGCAGCUGGCAGGUCUGGAGGGCCAGCAGGUGGUUCUGCUGUUAGAGGACUAUCAGUUUGUCCAUCCGGCUUUCUUAGAGAUGGUGAACAGCCUCUUGUCAUCAGGUGAAGUUCCAGGUCUGUAUACACCAGAGGAAUUGGAGCCUCUACUCUCCCCCCUUAAAGAUGCUGCCUCCCAGGAUGGAUUCACUGGACCCCUCUACAACUACUUUUCACACAGAAUCCAACAGAACCUCCACAUUGUUCUGAUCAUGGACUGCUCCAACUCUAACUUCACCAUCAACUGUGAAAGCAACCCAGCCUUUUACCGCAAGUGUUCUGUCCAGUGGAUGGAGGGAUGGUCUGAAAGCAGCAUGAAGAAGAUUCCUGAGCUGCUGUUGGCAAAAACAGAACAAGGAGGGGAGGAGAAUGAAAGAGAAAAGGGCACGAAGAGGAAAAGCUCUGGGUUAGGACAGGAAGACCUGUGCCGUUUGUUCCUGAUGGUCCAUGAGUCAUGUAGAGAACAUGGUGCAACACCAAGCCAGUACAUGGCCUUUCUGCAUGUUCACACGGCAAUAUACAGUCGGAAGCAAAACCAGCUUACAACAAGACAGCAGCAUCUACAGGCAGGUGUGUCUAAACUGAACGAAGCUAAAGCAUUGGUUGAUGAGUUGAAGAGGCGGGCUGCUGAACAGAGUGCGCUGCUGAAGACGAAACAACAGGAGGCAGAUUCUGCCCUGCAGGAAAUCACAGCCUCCAUGCAGAAUGCCAGUGACCAGAAGACAGAGAUGGAAAAAAUAAAAGGGAAAAUGGCUCAUGAAGUGUCCAAGAUUGAAGAGAGAAAAUCCAAAAUAGAUGAUGAGCUGAAGGAAGUACAGCCUUUGGUAAAUGAAGCAAAGCAUGCAGUUGGAAACAUCAAGCCUGAAGCUCUGUCUGAGAUCCGCUCCCUCAGAAUGCCCCCUGAUGUCAUCAGAGACAUCCUAGAGGGGGUAUUGAGACUGAUGGGCAUCUUUGACACUUCCUGGGUCAGCAUGAAGAGCUUUCUGGCUAAGCGUGGUGUGAGGGAGGACAUAGUUACAUUUGAAGCCAGGAACAUCACCCCUGAGAUUCGCCAGAGUGUCGAAGAGCUGCUCAACAGGAACAAAGCCUCCUUCGACCCCAAGAAUGCAAAGCGUGCAAGUGCAGCAGCUGCACCUCUGGCUGCCUGGGUCAAAGCCAAUGUCCAGUACUCCCUCGUCCUAGAACGGAUAGAGCCACUGGAAAGAGAGCAGGCUGGACUGCUGGAAAACCUUCGGAAAACAGAGAGUAGGAAGAAUAAACUAGAGGACCAACUCAACACUGUUGGUGCCAAAGUAAACGAGUUGAAAGAGAAGUUUCAGUGUCAUACUGCAGAGGCAGCUAAGUUGGAGACUGAAGUGACAAAAGCUCAGGAGACGAUCACUGCCGCACAGCAGCUCAUAUCGCAACUAGAUGGAGAACACACACGGUGGAAUGCACAGAUGUCUGAGAUAAAGGAUGAGUUGGAUACGCUCCCUAUUAGGGCCCUGCUUGCUGCAGCCUUCAUCACCUAUCUGUCUGCAGCUUCUGAAGACCGUAGAAGAAACUGUCUGGAGACAUGGAUGGCUCAAUCAGGACUACAGAAAUUUGACCUGCGGUCAUUCCUAUGCUCGGAGAGUGAACAGCUGAUCUGGAAGAGUCAAGGGCUGCCAUCGGAUGACCUCUCCAUGGAGAAUGCACUGGUCAUACUGCAGAUCAAUGCCCUGAAGUUACAGAGUGUUGCUUGUCCAUUCCUGAUUGACCCAUCAUCCCGAGCUACAGAGUGGCUAUGCACACAUCUCAAGCAGCACAGGCUAGAGGUCAUCAAUCAACAGGACAGUAACUUCAUGACAUCCCUGGAGCUGGCAGUCAGAUUUGGAAAAACCCUUAUCAUCCAAGAGAUGGAUGGCGUUGAACCUGCGCUCUAUCCACUGCUGAGGAGGGACCUCAUAGCGCAGGGUCCUAGAUACGUGGUUCAGAUUGGAGACAAGGUUAUUGAUUACAACGAGGACUUUCGUCUCUUCCUCGCAACGCGCAAUCCAAGUCCCUUCAUCCCUCCUGAUGCCGUUUCCGUGGUUACAGAGGUCAAUUUCACUACCACCAGGGCGGGCUUGCGAGGACAGCUGCUAGCCUUGACCAUCCAGCAGGAAAAGGCAGAACUGGAGACUGAGAAAACACGACUACUACAGCAAGAAGAAGACAAGAAGAUACAGCUGGCUCAGUUGGAAGAAUCAUUGUUAGAGACAUUGGCUACAGCUCAGGGUAAUAUUCUGGAGAACAGGGAGCUGAUCGAGAGUCUGAACCAAACCAAGGCAAGCAGUGCCUUGAUCCAAGAGUCACUACUGGAAUCGCACAAGCUACAGGCAUCCUUGGACCAGGAGCGGGAUGCCUACCUGCCUCUUGCAGAGAGUGCCAGCAAGAUGUAUUUUGUCAUCACAGACCUGUCAAAGAUCAACAACAUGUACCGCUUCAGCCUUGCUUCUUUCCUGCGCCUCUUCCAAAGGGCUCUUCAGGCCAAGAAGGAAGAAGUAAACACUGAAGCCAGGAUUGCUGCUUUGGAGGCCAAUUUGAAGAAUAUGGUGUAUGAGUACGUCUGCCGGUCGCUUUUCAAGGCGGACCAGUUGAUGUUUGCUAUGCACUUUGUGAAAGGCAUGUACCCGGAACUCUUCCAAGAGAAUGAAUGGGAUGUCUUCACCGGGUCCAUUGGUGGAGAAGUGUUCAAGAAAGAGGAGUUCCCUGCUUGGAUUGACCAGGAGAGGCAUGGAGCAGUGGCCAUUUUUAAAGCUACUUUUCCAGCUCUCUACCAGACCCUGUGUCUGAGCGACUCAGACCUUUGGCUGUCCUUCUUGCAGAGCUCACAGUGUGAACAGGAAAUCCCGUCUUCCAUUGCCAAGAAGAGUAGUACCUUUCAACAGCUGUUAUUUGUUCAGGCAGUCAGGCCAGACCGACUGCAGAGUGCCAUGGCAGCCUUUGCCUCUCAAGCUUUGGGUAUGAAAGAGCUCUCCCCCCCACCUCUUAAUCUGCGGCGUCUCUACACUGAAACAAUGGAAUGGGAGCCAGUGUUGAUCAUCAUCUCUCCAGGGGCGGACCCAUCCCAGGAGCUUGCAGAACUAGCAACAGAAACUGUUGGGAGGGGCAGCUAUCAUGAGAUCUCCAUGGGUCAGGGACAGGCUGAUGUGGCCUUAGCCACACUCAGAGAAUGUUCCCGAAAUGGAGACUGGCUUUGCCUGAAAAACCUUCACCUUGUCACUGCAUGGCUACCCCUCCUGGAAAAAGAGCUAAAUGCACUGCGUCCCAACGCAGGCUUCCGUCUCUGGCUGACAGCAGAAGUUCACCCCAGAUUUCCUCCCAUACUGCUGCAGUCUAGCCUGAAGAUCACUUAUGAGGCUCCUCCAGGGUUGAAGAAGAAUCUGCUGAGAACAUAUGAGUCCUGGACUCCAGAACAGAUCAGUAAAGGAGGCGUCCUGUCCAGAUCCCAGUCCCUGUUUUGUCUGGCUUGGUUCCAUGCUGUCUGUCAAGAGAGACGAAAUUACAUACCACAGGGUUGGACUAAGUUCUAUGAGUUUUCUUUGUCGGACCUGCGUGCUGGCUUUGAGAUCAUCGACAGGCUUUUUGAAGGUGGUAAAGUUUUCCAGUGGGAGUUUGUCCAUGGCCUGUUGGAAAGUGCUAUCUACGGUGGACGCAUUGACAACCCGUCUGACCUCCGCAUUUUACGCUCCUACCUUGAGCAGUUCUUCUCUGCACGCCUCCUCUCAUCCUCCCUCUCAGCUGGACAGAGAAAGAGCAGAGGAGGAACACAAAUCUUUCCGCCUCAGAUCAGCCUCCCAAACUCUUGCUCCAUAAUGGACUACCGCAGUUUAAUAGAAAAUCUCCCAGAGGAUGACAGGCCUGCAUUCUUUGGUCUGCCUGCCAACAUAGAGAGAUCCUCCCAGAGAAUCAUCAGCUCCCAGGUAAUUUCCCAACUGCGCAUCGUCAGUCGUUCAGUGGCAACAGGUUCAAAGUUUGACAGGGAGCUUUGGUCGAAUGGACUUUCCCCUAUCCUCAACUUAUGGAAGAUGCUCAACCAGGGCUCCACUCUGAUUCACCAGAAGGUGGAUCCACCUACAGAAGGUCAGAGGUCACCAGUGCUGUCAUUCAUUGUGUUGGAGCAGUUCAAUGCCAUCCGCUUGGUCCAGAGUAUCCACCAAUCCCUGGCUGCACUGAGCAAAGUCAUCAGAGGAACCCAACUGUUAAGUCCAGAAGUCCAGAAACUGGCCACUGCCCUGCUAAAUCAAGAGUGUCCUUUAACAUGGCAGACUAAGUGGGAGGGACCAGAGGAGCCAAUGCAGUACCUCAGAGCUGUAGUAACACGGGCUCUGGCCAUACAGAAUUGGGUGGAGCGUGCGAGUAGACAAGCUCUUUUGACAGACAUCCUAGAUUUAUCUGAGCUCUUCCACCCUGAUACCUUUCUCAAUGCUUUGAGACAAGAAACUGCCAGGUCCAUGGGCUGUUCUAUGGAUAGUUUGGUUUUUGUCUCAUCAUGGAGAAGUCCAAUUCCACAGGUCAAGCUACAAGUCAAGAUUGGAGGUCUCCAGCUGGAAGGUUGUAGUUUUGAUGGUGUCCAUCUUUGUGAGAAUCAACAUGAUUCUCCCAGUGUGUCAGCUGUACCUCCGUGCUACAUGGCCUGGGUUCCACAGAAUUCUGCUGCUGACUCCACUGCUUCAGAGGACAGUAUCUGGCUGCCUCUGUACACCAGCUCAGAGAGGGUGAAAGUGGUCACGCAUAUCUCUCUGCCCUGUGGAGCAAAUCCCAACCAAUGGAUACAAACUGGAGCUGCUCUCUUUCUCAAACAGCAGUGAAAUGACGUCAUCUUGGUGAGGCCAAGCACAUAGAGACGACACUGACAGAGGCUUUUGCGAGCAAUAUCAAGGACAACCCCCAUGGCAACAACACUUCUUGAGGGCAGCAACCUCCCCUAGAAGCAGAACGGCCUCAACCACACUGCAAAAAACUGCUCAUGAACGGCUUGAGGAACUUGACCAAGAGAUGUAGGUGUUGAAUCAGCCUCCAAACUCCUUAGGAUGCCAUCCAGGAACAAGUGUUGGAGCAAGCUCAAUUCAUGGAGGUCCCACCUUCCAACCCAAAGGAUCUACUGUCAACGUCCCAGUGGCAGACACCACAGGACAACCCCAGAUUCCUUGUCCAUACUUUGACGGAUCAGAGCUGUUGUCAUAGCAUGAAGGAGACCUACACACUAUAAGGCAGGUGGUUUUAUGGUGGUAGCUGACUGAUGUAUCUGUUCUUAUAUGUAUUUUGUGAUUGUCCAACAGAAGCACACAGGUUUGUUUGAUGGAUGCACUUGUCUGUUCGUAUUCUACAGCUGACAUUCUGCUGAAUUUCAUUGAAGUUUUUAGCUAGAUUAUUGUGAACAUUAUGAAAGCAGUGUUUAUUAAUUUAACCCAAAUUUUGCUCUAUUUUUAGUCCAAACUCAACAAAUAUUGCAUUAAUUAUCAAAAAUAUGUUAAAGACACACUGCUGCUGACUAGUGACUCUGGUGGUUUCCAGAUUUUACAUGUUGCGUCACCUGAAGGUUGCCAACUUUUGGAUGGAUUAUCAGUAAACACGCAUUGGUACACAUACUUAGGUCCCUCUCAAGAUGAAUUAUGAUCACUUUGAUCUUCUUGGUAUCAAAAAUUAAAAUUUCUCAGAUAUUUUCUAAACUAUAUUCCCAUUACUCUCACACUACUUCAUAUUUAGCCAGACAUUACCUCUAGGAAACAUGAGCUUGUCAUCAACAACCUCCCAGAGCUGCUAGUAAAACUGUAGAUUCUUAGUCUUGCUCUAAAUCACUUUCUAAACUGGAGCUAACACAACCAAGCUGUGACUUCUUGUCUUCAGAGAUUUACUGGAAUGAUUUAUGAAGUUCUGACUCUGUUAUCUGUCCUAAUUCUACCAUAAGUGUCAUUUUAUUCACAGACUGUAAUCUCAUGUUUUGCUGUUUCUCUAAAACAGAACUGAUCUUUUGUGCUGGAUAUUAAUUUCCUGCCGUGAAAAUAUUUUUUCCAUAAUUUUUUGUUGUCGUGAACCAGAUGAGGUGCAAUUUUUCUCAUUUUUACCUUGUCUGUGUCUUGAUCUGAUAAGAGAUAUUGUACUGUAGAUUCUGUUGAAGUGUCUGUUGCAGUAACCUAUCUACACAACCUCACAGCUCCCAGAGCAUUCACAGAUUGUCAUGUGUAUGUUUCGGCUCUAAUACGAGUUAUGUAUCCUCUUUUUUUUUUUUGUCUGCAUUUGUUCUCAUUGUUUAACUCCACAAAAGAGGUGUCAACAUUGUAUGAGAUUGAUGCAUAUUUUAGUCUUGCAGCCAAAUAUUUUAAUAUUUAGUGCAUGUGUGUGACCAUCACAAGCCCUCCCUGAAAGCUAAGCAGAUAUUCUUUAUUAGAAUUCCCUAUGAUGAGCCAGGGAGGGCAGUGCUACACCUCAGUUGUGUAUCCUCUACAAACAUAUGUUUGCAGAUUUUUUGCACCUAUUUUUCUCUGACACCCGCAAAAUAAUUGCUAAUUCACAGAAAAAUCCCCAACAAGACACUUUUCUGCUCUGAGCGGUUGAUAAGUAAAAUCAUCCAUGUGUGAUGUUGUUUUUCGAAAACUGUUAUUUCCAUCUAUCUUGAUUUUUUUCUCUCUUUUUUGAUUAUCCUCUAUGUUGAGAGGUGGGCAGGUCAAGUGUGUUUCCUAUAUGUGUUGUUUUAUUCAUCAUGCUUCCUUUACUUUUUGUUUGUCGUGAUGUGGGGAAUGGGUCGGUUUGUCUUAACCCAGGGGUGGUAUAAAAGAGAGGAUGAUCAGGGUAAUAUGCUGAAUGUUGUCUGUGAGUGAACAGCGGGUUGAAUGCUAAUCAUGAGAAAAUUGUGGGGAGGUUUGUGGGUUGUGGUGGUUUUAUGAUUAGCUAAUGAGUAUAAAAAGUGUAAGUGAA